GGCUCCGGAUGAACGCUAGCGGCAGGCUUAAUACAUGCAAGUCGUGGGGCAGCAUGAGUAGCAAUACUUGAUGGCGACCGGCAAACGGGUGAGGAACACGUACACAACCUUCCUUCAAGCGGGGAAUAGCCCAGAGAAAUUUGGAUUAAUACCCCAUAAUAUAUUUGAUAAGGCAUCUUAUUAAUAUUAAAGCUUCGGCACUUGAUGAUGGGUGUGCGGCUGAUUAGAUAGUUGGCGGGGUAACGGCCCACCAAGUCUACGAUCAGUAGCUGAUGUGAGAGCAUGAUCAGCCACACGGGCACUGAGACACGGGCCCGACUCCUACGGGAGGCAGCAGUAAGGAAUAUUGGACAAUGGACGAAAGUCUGAUCCAGCCAUGCCGCGUGAAGGAUUAAGGUCCUCUGGAUUGUAAACUUCUUUUAUAUGGGACGAAAAAAGGGCAUUCUUGUUCACUUGACGGUACCAUAUGAAUAAGCACCGGCUAACUCCGUG
rnacentral:rRNA from 1 species